UUGACCUCAAAUCAGGUAGAACUAC
rnacentral:rRNA from 1 species